AACGAACGCUGGCGGCAUGCCUAACACAUGCAAGUCGAACGCUAUUUAUAGAGUGGCGCACGGGUGAGUAUCGCGUGGGAACUUGCCUUUUUCUGCGGGAUAACGGUUGGAAACGACCGCUAAUACCGCAUACGCCCUACGGGGGAAAGGUCCGCCGGAAAAAGAGGGGCCCGCGUCUGAUUAGCUUGUUGGUAGGGUAAUGGCCUACCAAGGCGACGAUCAGUAGCUGGUCUGAGAGGAUGAUCAGCCACACUGGACUGAGACACGGCCCAGACUCCUACGGGAGGCAGCAGUGGGGAAUAUUGGACAAUGGGGGCAACCCUGAUCCAGCAAUGCCGCGUGUGUGAUGAAGGCCUUAGGGUUGUAAAGCACUUUCACUGGUGAAGAUGAUGACGGUAACCAGAGAAGAAGCCCCGGCUAACUUCGUGCCAGCAGCCGCGGUAAUACGAAGGGGGCGAGCGUUGUUCGGAAUUACUGGGCGUAAAGGGCGCGUAGGCGGUCUUUUAAGUUAGGCGUGAAAGCCCCGGGCUCAACCCGGGAACUGCGCUUAAGACUGGAAGACUAGAAAACGGAAGAGGGUAGUGGAAUUCCCAGUGUAGAGGUGAAAUUCGUA
rnacentral:rRNA from 1 species